rnacentral:rRNA from 1 species
GGGGGGGCAAGCGUUGUUCGGAAUACUGGGCGUAAAGGGCUCGUAGGCGGCAACUAAGUCAGACGUGAAAUCCCCAGGCUUAACCUGGGAACUGCGUCUGAUACUGGAUGGCUUGAGUUUGGGAGAGGGAUGCGGAAUUCCAGGUGUAGCGGUGAAAUGCGUAGAUAUCUGGAGGAACACCGGUGGCGAAGGCGACAUCCUGGACCAACACUGACGCUGAGGAGCGAAAGCCAGGGGAGCAAACGGGAUUAGAUACCCCGGUAGUCCUGGCCCUAAACGAUGAAUGCUUGGUGUGGCGGGUAUCGAUCCCUGCCGUGCCGAAGCUAACGCAUUAAGCAUUCCGCCUGGGGAGUACGGUCGCAAGGCUG